UACAGAGGGGGCAAGCGUUGUUCGGAAUUACUGGGCGUAAAGGGCGCGUAGGCGGCCUUCUAAGUCGAACGUGAAAUCCCCGGGCUCAACCCGGGAACUGCGUCCGAUACUGGAAGGCUUGAAUCCGGGAGAGGGAUGCGGAAUUCCAGGUGUAGCGGUGAAAUGCGUAGAUAUCUGGAGGAACACCGGUGGCGAAGGCGGCAUCCUAGACCGGCAUUAACGCUGAGGCGCGAAAGCCAGGGGAGCAAACAGG
rnacentral:rRNA from 1 species